rnacentral:rRNA from 1 species
UACGUAGGGGGCAAGCGUUGUCCGGAAUUAUUGGGCGUAAAGCGCGCGCAGGCGGUCUUUUAAGUCUGGUGUUUAAGCCCGGGGCUCAACCCCGGUUCGCACCGGAAACUGGAAGACUUGAGUGCAGGAGAGGAAAGCGGAAUUCCACGUGUAGCGGUGAAAUGCGUAGAGAUGUGGAGGAACACCAGUGGCGAAGGCGGCUUUCUGGUCUGUAACUGACGCUGAGGCGCGAAAGCGUGGGGAGCAAACAGG